UACGGAGGGUGCAAGCGUUAUCCGGAUUCACUGGGUUUAAAGGGUGCGUAGGCGGGUUGUUAAGUCCGUGGUGAAAUCUCCGAGCUUAACUCGGAAACUGCCGUGGAUACUAUCAAUCUUGAAUAUCGUGGAGGUAAGCGGAAUAUGUCAUGUAGCGGUGAAAUGCUUAGAUAUGACAUAGAACACCAAUUGCGUAGGCAGCUUACUACACGAUCAUUGACGCUGAGGCACGAAAGCGUGGGGAGCAAACAGG
rnacentral:rRNA from 1 species